rnacentral:rRNA from 1 species
AGAGUUUGAUNUGGCUCAGAUUGAACGCUGGCGGCAGGCCUAACACAUGCAAGUCGAGCGGUAGAGGGGUGCUUGCACUCCUUGAGAGCGGCGGACGGGUGAGUAAUGCCUAGGAAUCUGCCUGGUAGUGGGGGAUAACGUUCGGAAACGGACGCUAAUACCGCAUACGUCCUACGGGAGAAAGUGGGGGAUCUUCGGACCUCACGCUAUCAGAUGAGCCUAGGUCGGAUUAGCUAGUUGGUGAGGUAAAGGCUCACCAAGGCGACGAUCCGUAACUGGUCUGAGAGGAUGAUCAGUCACACUGGAACUGAGACACGGUCCAGACUCCUACGGGAGGCAGCAGUGGGGAAUAUUGGACAAUGGGCGCAAGCCUGAUCCAGCCAUGCCGCGUGUGUGAAGAAGGUCUUCGGAUUGUAAAGCACUUUAAGUUGGGAGGAAGGGUUGUAGAUUAAUACUCUGCAAUUUUGACGUUACCGACAGAAUAAGCACCGGCUAACUCUGUGCCAGCAGCCGCGGUAAUACAGAGGGUGCAAGCGUUAAUCGGAAUUACUGGGCGUAAAGCGCGCGUANGUGGUUAUGUAAGUUGGAUGUGAAAUCCCCGGGCUCAACCUGGGAACUGCAUCCAAAACUGCAUAGCUAGAGUACGNUAGAGGGUGGUGGAAUUUCCUGUGUAGCGGUGAAAUGCGUAGAUAUAGGAAGGAACACCAGUGGC